CCCUUAGAUGUUCUGGGCUGCACGCGCGCUACACUGAAGCUAUCAACACGUUUUCCCUCCCUGAGAAGGGCGGGUAACCUUUUGAAUCAGCUUCGUGGUAGGGAUCGGGGCUUGCAAUUGUUCCCCGUGAACCAGGAAUUCCUAGUAGACGCGAGUCAUAAGCUCGCAUCGAUUAAGUCCCUGCCCUUUGUACACACCGCCCGUCGCUACUACCGAUUGAACGUUUUAGUGAGGCAUUUGGACCGGCGCAUCUCAGUUUAACCGCUGGUUUGUGUUGGAAAGACUUCCAAACUUGAGCGUUUAGAGGAAGUAAAAGGCGUAACA
rnacentral:rRNA from 1 species